GUGCACCAGGCGAGAAUUUUUCUCAAUAGGGGAAACCCUGAAGGAGCGACGCCGCGUGGAGGAUGAAGGCUUUCGGGUUGUAAACUCCUGUCAUUAGAGAACAAUUGUCAGCGAUUAACUGUCGCGGACUUGAUAGUAUCUGAAGAGGAAGGGACGGCUAACUCUGUGCCAGCAGCCGCGGUAAUACAGAGGUCCCAAGCGUUGUUCGGAUUCAUUGGGCGUAAAGGGUGCGUAGGUGGUAGACUAAGCCGGAUGUGAAAUCCCAGGGCUCAACCCUGGAACUGCAUUCGAUACUGGCCUGCUCGAGGACUGGAGAGGAGAUUGGAAUUUAUGGUGUAGCAGUGAAAUGCGUAGAUAUUAUAAGGAAGACCAGUGGCGAAGGCGGAUCUCUGGACAGUUCCUGACACUGAGGCACGAAGGCUAGGGGAGCGAACGGGAUUAGAUACCCGGGUAGU
rnacentral:rRNA from 1 species